rnacentral:rRNA from 1 species
AUACGGAGGGGGUUAGCGUUGUUCGGAAUUACUGGGCGUAAAGCGUACGUAGGCGGAUCAGAAAGUAAGGGGUGAAAUCCCAGGGCUCAACCCUGGAACUGCCUCUUAAACUCCUGGUCUUGAGUUCGAGAGAGGUGAGUGGAAUUCCAAGUGUAGAGGUGAAAUUCGUAGAUAUUUGGAGGAACACCAGUGGCGAAGGCGGCUCACUGGCUCGAUACUGACGCUGAGGUGCGAAAGCGUGGGGAGCAAACAGGAUUAGAAACCCUAGUAGUCC